rnacentral:rRNA from 1 species
GAUGAACGCUGGCGGCGUGCCUAAUACAUGCAAGUCGAGCGGUAACACUUCGGGUGACGAGCGGCGGACGGCUGAGUAACGCGUGGGAAUGUACCCCAAAGUGGGGGAUAACUGCUCGAAAGAGUAGCUAAUACCGCAUGUGGUCUACGGAUUAAAGCUUCGGCGCUUUGGGAACAGCCUGCGUAAGAUUAGCUUGUUGGUGAGGUAACGGCUCACCAAGGCGACGAUCUUCAGCUGGUCUGAGAGGAUGAUCAGCCAGACUGGGACUGAGAACGGCCCAGACUCCUACGGGAGGCAGCAGUAGGGAAUUUUCCACAAUGGACGAAAGUCUGAUGGAGCAACGCCGCGUGCAGGAUGAAUGCCUUCGGGUUGUAAACUGCUUUUAUAUGUGACGAUUAUGACGGUAGCAUAUGAAUAAGGAUCGGCUAAUUCCGUGCCAGCAGCCGCGGUAA